rnacentral:rRNA from 1 species
UACGAAGGGGGCUAGCGUUGUUCGGAAUUACUGGGCGUAAAGCGCGCGCAGGCGGUUUCUCAAGUCAGUGGUGAAAGCCCGGAGCUCAACUCCGGAACUGCCAUUGAAACUGUGAGACUUGAGGACGAGAGAGGUGAGUGGAAUUCCCAGUGUAGAGGUGAAAUUCGUAGAUAUUGGGAAGAACACCGGUGGCGAAGGCGGCUCACUGGCUCGUUUCUGACGCUCAGGCGCGACAGCGUGGGGAGCGAACAGG